rnacentral:misc_RNA from 1 species
ACUAAUAAAAUAUGAUAUUGGAGAAGACAUAAAACAUGGUCAACAGCACUGCAAUCAAAGGAAAGCCACAUGAGCAUCUCACGCAGUUGCCUGGAUCGGCCCAUUGGAUCUAAAUCCGCGGCCCCUUCCACGAUUUCCCCUCCCGCGGCCACGACCUACAACAUAAUAGAUCAGGAUCAACUUUCAACAAACCAAGUACACACCUCCACAUAAUUGACAAAGAAUUUGGAAUUUAGAAAAAUCUAAUGGCACGAGUUUCAUCUAUAAACUCUUGAAUAUUAAAAAGAUGGCAACUAGCACAUCCACCUCUUCACAACUCUCAAUUACGGUAACACGCGUGGUAAAAAUUUCAUGCAUCCCAUCUAUAUCAGUUGCAAGUAUCAUAUCAUGAAUCUUAUUCUAACAGGUCUUACAAUCAAAUAAUAAGUUACAUAGAAAUUAACAGCGCAAAAAACAGUCUAUUAAAAUGAUUGCCUAGAUGUCCAUGACAGUUCUAAAGGUCACUUAUCAGAAGCAACGCAUCUGUUAAGAGAAUUUUGUUCAAAUUAGAGUAUGAAUCCAGGAUAAUCCAAUAAUGAAGCAGCUAUAUAAAAAGGAUGAAGUCUAGAGCCCACACUAGAAGCCAUCAUAGAAACACCCCAAAAACAUACACGUAGAAAUAUCAAUCACAGGUGAAAUGAAAACACUAGGAAAAAAAAAAUGUACCACGGCCUUGAGCAGGUGCAUCAUAAUUGUAACCUCCAUCUUGCUGCAUGUCAGCAUGAGGUCCAUUGUACCCUCCUCUCCCACGGCCUCGGAAACUCCGUCCUCGUCCUCUUCCCCUACCUCUGAAAUGGCCCCUGUUGCGAUCCCAACCGCCAUCUUCAUAUACGAUAACAAAUCCAUUUCCUGAAGUAAGAAUAGUUCUGUUAAUAUAAUGAAAAAGUCCAGAUAACUUAAAACCCUGUCUUUUUAUUUGAAGCUUCCAUCACUCAGAUUUCAAAUUAGCAAACAAAAUAUUUCUAGAACAAUUUUGCAAUACAUAGAAACUCCCAAUAAUGGCAAUCUGUAAACCAACCAUUAAAGUUGAACAAGAUCUUCCUUUAAGUAAAUGAAAAAAGAACCAUGUUAACAUGAACUAAGUUCACACACCAAGAAAGUGAGCUAGGUUUAAGUGCAAGGAAGAAUCAUUAGCUGCUGGUUUCACAGCAACAAACCCACACGAUAACAUAUCCAUUGGAAAUUUCAAAUAAAAACAUGUGAUCAAACGCCAUUUAGACAUACCUCUACCCUUUGCCCUCCCUCUACCACCUCGACUCCUACCUCGGCCAUUUGGUGAGCCCUCUGCAGCACAAAAUUAACUAUAAACAAAUGUAAAUUUGGAUAAUUCAGAAUGUGCAUAGAUUAUAAACAAGCACCACCUCCUUCAUAAUCAAAUUCUGCUGAUCCCUUCACCAGUUCUGCAGGUAAGGGAGACUGGUACCUGAAAAGGGUAGCGUUCACGAGUAAUUACAGAUUUUGGAAUAACAAUAAAUUCAACUGUCCACCAACAUGUAUUAUACUACCCAAAUGGCAUUAAUUUUUUUUGUUCCAGUUGACAUAAACUUCGUAAACAAGAAUGUCCUGACAUCUUAGAUACACAUAUAUUACUAAAGAACACACUACAAAUUAUCUAUAUAUCAUUUGCUAUAUACCAUCCAGGAACAACUUCUCCCAUCAUUAAAGCAAAAGAAACAUUAAAGAAUGGUAUUUAUCUGAAAGGGCAUAUACAAAUUUAAUAAUCAAAUAACAGAAGAUGGCGAUCUGCUUUUCAAACAAAGAUUGUAUGCAAUUCUAUUAACUAUUUCUUACCAUUAAAUUGGUUCCUCCGCAUCAAUUAUAUUAUGAAAGGCAAACAAACAAAAAGGCAAUCAUAUCAAAACCUCAAUAAAUAUAAAUUUUUGAGGCGGCAGUAGCAUAUUUGUGUAUCAAAAACUAAAAUAUGAAAAAACAUGUAUAUAAUCACACUUCUUUGUCACGCCAUUUAGUCACAGGCAAGAAAGACUCCAAAAACCAAUAAAGAAUGCAAGUCAUUAACUUAGAAUCAAUGUUCACUUGCUAUAAUGUCUGCAAUUAGUAAAAUCUCAAAAAAUCAACAUCACAAUUCAAAUCCAAAAACCUCAGCCUGCCUAAUUAUGCUCUCACAUGGUUUCUUCCUAAAAAAAAAGUGCAUUAUGAAAGAAUUUAAGAAAUCAAACAAACUGCUUUAUAUUAGUUCUAUACAAACUCACCCAACAGCAGAUGUAUUCAGUUCCUUCAUGGAAAGGGUAAUCGUAAUCAUUGACACAUGCCUAGUGGUUUCCAAACUGUAUUAUUUAAAACAAGGGUCAUUGUUAGAAUUGUUAUCAAUAACAAAAGCCAAAUGCUUAAAAAAGAAUAUUAGGCAUUGAAAGUUUCUUUUCCAGACUAUUCUUACGGAAGGAGGCCUUCCUCAAGGGGCUCCCAUGUAUCAGUUAUGUCUGUGGAUCCAAUUGCUGUGAUCUGAUGGAGACCAACAAUUCUUCUCUUGAUUAACUCCACUAUAGUCACAGUUUUGUUGAUGGCUCUUCCCAUUGCUUUGAACACAAUCUCAUUCGAUCCUUUUUCUUGAAGCAAACUCAUGGCAUAUGAGAUGUAACUGCGCAUCCUUCCCUGACUAGUAAUACGAAUCUCAUUCUCGUCAAUUGGUGUAUCAGCUUUAGGCUUCUCCACUCUCUGGUACCGAUCCAUCUUGAAGAUUUGGAGAUAAGUUUGCUCGGCCAAGAAAGAGCCCUCUUCUACGGCUUCGUUUAUUC